rnacentral:lncRNA from 12 species
GGGGUCGGGGAUGUCCCUGGAAUGGGAUUUGCAGUGAAGUUCAUGGAAUUUCCCUUCCUCAAUUUCCCUUCAUCAGCUGGAGAAAGCUUUCCAAGUCCUAAUCCAUCAGAGAAUUCCAGAACUUAAACACGGCUUGGACACCCUCGGGUGCCCCCAGCCCAGGCUGAGUUUAAAUUCAAGCCUAACCUGACCUGGGCAGAGGCCGGGUCUGACUCACAGAGGCCGAGAUUAAGGCUGGAGCCGGCGCUCUCCCUCCUCCCACACCCUGCCCGAGUUAUUCUGAUCCUUAUCUCCGGCUCCUUCGGCUCCUUGAUCCUUGGAAAAUCACCCUCAUCACCAAAAACAAACAACAACAACAACAAAAAAAACCGCCAAAAAACAAUCACCUCCGUGAUAUCCCUCCCCAAACCAACCUGAACGGCGGGUCUGGAGAAAACAGGGAUGAGGAUCCUUGGAGGGAUGGACAGGACGGGAGGAGGUGAAAAGUGGGAAUGGAGGAGCAGCAGACGGGAAUUUGUGCCCGCACCCCCGGGAACGAGGCGGCAACAGUCAGAAAGGAAUUUUUCCAUUUUCAGAGAGGAACCAGCCAGAAUAAGGAAUGGGAAGCUGCUUUUUCCCGACCUCCUGGGCCAAAUCUUGGAAUCUGCCAAGCAAAUCCCAUUGCCCUCCUUCUGAGGAUCCCAAUUUUCCUCUUUUUGGGAUGCCAGAGCCGGAAUUAUUCCCACCAGCUGAGGAGCUGCCAGUCCCAGAUCCCAGCUGGGCCUUUCCCAACAGCAGAGCUCCAGAGUCCCGGCCAAAUUCUUAAUUGGCCUUAAUUACAUCCCAUCUCCCAAAAUCCCGCCAAAGGUUUCCGUGGAUUCCUCCCUGCUUCCUGCCCGGACCUGUUGUGGGGCAUGGAUUGAUCCCAAAUUUUGGUGGAGCAUGGCUCCAUCCCGAAUUUUGUGGCUGCAUCCCGAAUUUUGUGGCUCCAUCCCGAAUUUUGUGGCUGCAUCCCGAAUUUUACGGCUCCAUCCCAAAUUUACGGCUCCCCAGACAGAAGAAAAGCGAUUGGGAAUCGUUUCCUCGUUAUCCAGAAGGGAGAUUUCCAGAGCUACCUGAAAAAAAUUAAAUUAAAAAAGAGGGGGAAAAGGUGGAUAAAAUUCCAUGAUUCCCUGGAAAUCAUGCUGGAUCCUCUGGAUCCCAAAGUAGUUUGACAUCAUUUGGGAUAUUGAUCCCAAAUUUUAGCAGGAUUGGGCCAAUUUAUCCUUCCCCAAUUCCCUCCCAAGCCAAAUCCAUCCUGCCUGGAGUUUUGGGAUUUCAAUACGGAUUUAGUAAGGGAAUAGUGGAUUUAUU